rnacentral:rRNA from 1 species
UACGUAGGGGGCAAGCGUUAUCCGGAUUUACUGGGUGUAAAGGGAGCGUAGACGGCAUGGCAAGUCAGAUGUAAAAGCCCGGGGCUCAACCCCGGGACUGCAUUUGAAACUGUCAGGCUGGAGUGCAGGAGAGGUAAGCGGAAUUCCUAGUGUAGCGGUGAAAUGCGUAGAUAUUAGGAGGAACACCAGUGGCGAAGGCGGCUUACUGGACUGUAACUGACGUUGAGGCUCGAAAGCGUGGGGAGCAAACAGG